rnacentral:lncRNA from 10 species
UUGGCCAGUCUAGUUAUAAGGGAGUGUGUGUGUUGUGCAUGUUGGGAGCUGCAUGGGUGUGGGGUGUGCCUGAAGUUUGAUUCUCACGGGGUGAAAGAGGUGUGUAAAUACAGCCAGUGCAUGGAGCAUAUCAUGGGGUGUGAGGGGGGCGUGUAGAAAAGCGUGGGGGAUGCAUGGCUGUGCGUGUGUGGCAUGUAUAUAUGAUAUACAAUACAUGGUAGAUGUGUGUGAGUCUGGCAUGUGGGUGUGGAUGUGUGCAAUACAUUCAGGUGACUGAAUCUGUUCUCCUGGCAGACAGAUGCAGAUGAAACUGGGUCACAUUGUCCAAGGUAGCCUCAGCUGCUAUCUCUGCUGGCAUCUUGC